AUUGAACGCUGGCGGCAGGCUUAACACAUGCAAGUCGAGCGAGCGGCGGACGGGUGAGUAAUGUCUGGGAAACUGCCGGAGGGAGGGGGAUAACUACUGGAAACGGUAGAUAAUACCGAAUACUAUCAGAUGAGCCCAUAUGGGAUUAGCUAGUAGGUGGGGUAAGGGCUCACCUAGGCGACGAUCCCUAGCUGGUCUGAGAGGAUGACCAGCCACACUGGGACUGAGACACGGUCCAGACUCCUACGGGAGGCAGCAGUGGGGAAUAUUGCACAAUGGGCGCAAGCCUGAUGCAGCCAUGCCGCGUGUGUGAAGAAGGCCUUAGGGUUGUAAAGCACUUUCAGCGGGGAGGCGUUACUCGCAGAAGAAGCACCGGCUAACUCCGUGCCAGCAGCCGCGGUAAUAC
rnacentral:rRNA from 1 species